AUUGAACGCUGGCGGCAGGCCUAACACAUGCAAGUCGAACGAGUGGCGGACGGGUGAGUAAUGUCUGGGAAACUGCCUGAUGGAGGGGGAUAACUACUGGAAACGGUAGCUAAUACCGCAUACCAUCGGAUGUACCCAGAUGGGAUUAGCUAGUAGGUGGGGUAAAGGCUCACAUAGGCGACGAUCCCUCGCUGGUCUGAGAGGCGGACCAGCAACACUGGAACUGAGACACGGUCCAGAUUCCUACGGGAGGCAGCAGUGGGGAAUAGUGCACAAUGGGGGCAAGCCUGAUGCAGCCAUGCCGGGUGUAUGAAGAAGGCCUUCGGGUUGUAAAGUACUUUCAGCGGGGAGGCGUUACCGGCAGAAGAAGCACCGGCUAACUCCGUGCCAGCAGCCGCGGUAAUAC
rnacentral:rRNA from 1 species